CCCAUUGGCUUCUGGCUUGCGAUGGCAGCGGACCAAUAGCAGUGAAUUGAAGGCGGUGCCUUGUGAAUCUCGCCUGGCUGCACGCGCAGGGGAGUGGGGGCGUGGCAUUUUUUUGAGGAAAAAAAGCUAAACAAUCUUUAAUAUUUCAAAUUGACUGUGUCGGCUUUUUAAGUUGUCUCGGCUGGUGGAGAAGUCCAUACCUUAGAAUAGUGGUAACACACGGGGAUCCACUCAAGACAGGCCUGAAUGUAUUUUCUUCCAAAUUUCUGGACGAAAAGGUAUAGAAAGCGGGUAAUCUUUCUUUAGUCACCACUCCGGUCAGACGAUGAAUUCUAAACGUUUGCUUGACAUGUCUCCGGCUGAAAUACUGGUCGGGGGCGCUUCGAAACAAGCCGGUAUUGACCAGCAUGCAGAGGGUUCCAAGGGAAGCGAAAUGAGUGUCACCACUACUGACAGCGGUGUCAUUCUGGCGUGCGGGAGCGGGCCCGCAUCAGGAGCAGUUUUCUGCACAUUCGUGCUAGACGAUGGCACUUUGAGAGAAUGUACAAACCAGGACAUUAUCCUCAAUGGGAAUGACCUGUCGUCAGGGAAAGAAAAAUACGCGCACCGGAAAAUAAUGGGUUGUGGUGGCGAGGCAGAUGAGAGGAACAGUGGUCUGACUGGGGUCCUUACUAACGGCAGUCCCACUCACUGCCUGAUCCUGAACGGGCAGAAGCCGGACAGACACAUGCACUCGAAAGUGAGGAAUCCGCUGGUGCCCGAUGGUUUCCAGGAAACCGGACAUCAAGUGCCACCUGAGGAGAGAAAUUCCCACCCCUCCUCCCACAUACCUGUCCCCCGACGCAGAUGCACCACUGAGAGCUUCCUGUCGGGCUGUAUCACUGCCUGGUACAGCAAUUGCGCCGUUCGCAACCGUAGGACUCUCCAGAGGGUGGUGCAGUCAGCCCAACACAUCACCAGGGCUACACUAUCUGUCCUCCAGGACAUCUACAGC
rnacentral:lncRNA from 1 species